AUGGGGGUGCGGGGGAGCACAGGAGCGCGAGCCAGCACCCAGACCUGCUCGGUACCGGGGACCCAGACCUGGGGAUGCCGGGUGGCCAGGACCCCGCUACCCUGGCCGGCUCCGGGCGGAGUAACAAGAGAAGGCGCCCAGACUGCAUCUCCGCCGGGACCCGGAGCCGCGGCACCACCCCAGCCCGCCCCACGCUCUCCAACCUCAGGCGGCCGCGCCCCGCCCCGCCCUCUCCCGAAGCCCCGCCCCGGCGCGAGACCACCCUCCGCGGCCUCCGCUCUGGUCCCGGCCCCGCCCCCCGCGACCCCGCCCCGCCCCGCCCCGCCCCGCCCCGCCCCGCCCCGCCCCCGCCCCGGCGCGGGACCACCCUCCGCCCGGCGAGGCGGGGGCCCAGCGCGCCCGGCACUCUCGGCGGUCCGGGCCCCUCGCCACCACCGCCGCCGCCGCCGCCGUGAGUCCCGCGGAGCCGCGCGCCCCAGCUGGGCCGAGCCGCCGGCCGACCAGCGGAGCCGCAGGAGCCCGCGGGGACGCCAUGCGAGCCAGAUUUGUGCUUGAGAAGCUCUGAGUUCCCGUGCGUCCACCCGCAUUGGCAUUACAGCCCACUGGCUUUGACCGGAACUGACCGAGUGCUCAGUUACGUCACUCAGCGGAGUGCCUGUGUCGUGGACAGAAAACCCA
rnacentral:lncRNA from 1 species